AAUCGCCAACCCUGGCACCUUGAUAAUUUAAGAAUCGUUUUACUCUCAUUCAAACAACCUUUAAUUUUUCGGGCAGUGAAAGAUAGAUUUAAAUCUUCGUACGAUUUAAAGUAGAUGAAAAUAAACGCUUCAUAAACAAAAAACUAAGAUUAGUUUUUCGAUAAUUUUGAGUAGUUAAAGCUUUUCGGGUUAUAGCCUCAUUACUACUUACUCUGUGCUUUGCUUGGGGUGACGCGUCAUGCAGUUUUAACGAGUACAAUUGAGGUGAAACUAAUAUCGCCCGUGCUGCUUCACUUCACCCCUGUUUUGAGAAUCUUCAGCAGUUCGACUCUUGACUCCAUGAGCGUAACUCCCAUGGUGCUACUUUGACUUCACGUCAGUUCACAUUUCCUUGUGGGAUCUUCAUUGAUACGCCACCGAGAUUUACAGCCUCGAACCUGUUCUAGCAUUCAUAGAGUAGAAGCUUAUCUUUGGAAGCCUCGCCCGAGUACGGUUGGGAUUUGGAUGCGAGCAUUGGGCACGUGCUGGAUUUGGUGUUGUCAGCACUACGAUGACCUCCUCCGGCACAUCUGGUUACCACGUUGGCUACGACUACGUUUUUUGGCCCCGGCAACAUCUGCGCGGGUGUGUACCAGCCGCUGGACCAGCUACGCACCGACGUUCACCGAGGGAUUUUUUAGUACUUCAGGAUUUACGGGUUGGGCAGACGCGGAAGCAAGGCGCAACUCCAUUGCCUCUUCACACCCAGUGAAGUGGAGUCGCUACCGCAAAUUUUGGAG